rnacentral:lncRNA from 10 species
GGGGAUUUGGGUAUCUUCUUUCCUGAAGUCACUCAGCCUCUGAAGAAGCUUCGGGUUCAGACUCAGGCAGUCAGUCGGAAAGUGAGCAGGGAAGUGAUCCAGGAAGUGGACAUGGCAGCGAGUCGAACAGCAGCUCUGAAUCUUCUGAGAGUCAGUCGGAAUCUGAGAGCGAAUCAGCAGGUUCCAAAUCCCAGCCAGUCCUCCCAGAAGCCAAAGAGAAGCCAGCCUCUAAGAAGGAACGGAUAGCUGAUGUGAAGAAGAUGUGGGAAGAAUAUCCUGAUGUUUAUGGGGUCAGGCGGUCAAACCGAAGCAGACAAGAACCAUCGCGAUUUAAUAUUAAGGAAGAGGCAAGUAGCGGGUCUGAGAGUGGGAGCCCAAAAAGAAGAGGCCAGAGGCAGCUGAAAAAACAAGAAAAAUGGAAACAGGAACCCUCAGAAGAUGAACAGGAACAAGGCACCAGUGCAGAGAGUGAGCCAGAAC